rnacentral:lncRNA from 1 species
CAAUCAAGAAAAAGCAUACAUCAUAGUUUAAUGAGCACUGUGUUGCAAACAUGUAUAACUAAAUUAGAUAGUGGUGGUGAGGUUAAUGUCAAAGGUAAACAGGAAUGAGAAUUUCUGCUACACUGUACUUUGCAUCGAUAUUUUAAUGAUGCUUUUUUGGUCCUGUUAGGGGGAGGGGAGAAGGGAAAAUUAGAUAGUGGUUGUGAGGUUAAUGUCUGAGGUAAUCAGGAAUGAGAAUUUCUGCUCCACUGUACUUUGCAUCGAUAUUCUAAUGAUACUUUUUUGGUCCUGUUAGGGGGAGGGGAGAAGGGAAGAAACAGACUCAAUAAUGUAAUGAAAGAUUUAGUGGCAUU